AAAGAUAUUGUUACCGAUUACAUGUAAACAGCCUGAAUCAUUCAAAGGGAUGUGGAGAAGAGUAUUUCUAUAGUGUGAAGCCAGAGAAAAUGGCAACCUGCCAAAGCUAGGUGCAAGCUCUUGUUACAUGGAAGGGUUGGGCCUGUUCUCAUUUCUUCUUGAAAUGGCUUAAUUGGUGUCAGCACCCCAGGGAUAAAGGCCUCUAACACUGAAAUCCACACGAUUCACCCUGUCUCUGCUCAGUGUAGGGAAACUGGUAACAACUGGUGGUGAAUGAGGAGCGAACGGUGCUGUAACAAUA
rnacentral:lncRNA from 1 species